rnacentral:rRNA from 1 species
CUUGCUGCUUUGCUGACGAGUGGCGGACGGGUGAGUAAUGUCUGGGAAACUGCCUGAUGGAGGGGGAUAACUACUGGAAACGGUAGCUAAUACCGCAUAACGUCGCAAGACCAAAGAGGGGGACCUUAGGGCCUCUUGCCAUCGGAUGUGCCCAGAUGGGAUUAGCUAGUAGGUGGGGUAACGGCUCACCUAGGCGACGAUCCCUAGCUGGUCUGAGAGGAUGACCAGCCACACUGGAACUGAGACACGGUCCAG